UCCCUGAUAGCUCAGUUGGUAAAAAAUCUGCCUGCAAUGCAGGAGACCCCAGUUCAAUUUCUGGGUCAGGAAG
rnacentral:tRNA from 1 species